rnacentral:snoRNA from 1 species
GGCCUUCUGGUGCUUACCCCAAGCUGUGUUCUCACAGUGACUAUAUAGAAAGAGGAGGCAAAGUGAACCUACCCCACAUACAUCUCAGCCCAGGCCCUGUGCCUGGUCUGUAUUGUGAAUGGGAGGCAUGG